rnacentral:lncRNA from 1 species
CAUUGCUAUCAACUAGAACAGUAGCUUUCAGAUUGCAAUAAGGAUAACUGCCACUUCAGAAAGAUCCUUGAGGGAAAUAGAAUUACUUAUGACGCAGCUUAUAGGGAAACAUCUUCUGGAAUGGAAGUUACCUCACUGAGUGGCUGUACUAUUCUAUGGCAAAAUAUCCUCAUUUCUACCAUAACAUCCAUGUUCUGUCUUCUUGGGCUAAUAGUGCUCUAUGGAAAACUCUGCAAGAAAAUUGAAAUAUAUGCCUGUAAACAUGAUGGAGGAAAGCAGCCUAGGCUCAGACCCAGAAAAAAUGACAAUACUGCACCCAGAGAGGAAUUUUCUGCUGAGACAAAUCUAAUGUCUGAACACAGUGUUGUCUCUAAGUGGCUAAACAUGCAGCCCAAUGUCCAACAGCUGCAGAAGCAAAAUGUUCAAGCCAACAGCCACAUCACAGGUAGCAGCUCAGGAAGCUCACCGCACUCUCUCACCAGACAGCAUUCUGAUUCAGAUGAUGAAAUAAAUUACACGACGAUUGUAUUUGGAGAUUCCAGGCAUGACCCCAGCACUGUUGAGGACUAUGAAGAUCAAAAUGUGAAUGUGCAUUAUGAGAAUGUAUCACCCUAG